rnacentral:lncRNA from 1 species
AUGUUAAAGAUGGGAGUGAUUGGAGUAUAUGUAAACGAAAUGGGAAGGAGUCCAUGGAGAAACAGUGGUUGGAUACACAAGAAAAUGGACUGUGUUUUUAAAAAAUUAAUUAAUUAUUAUUAUUUAUUUUUAGAGAGAGCAGUUGUGCACAGGAAUGGGGUGGGGGAUUGGGGAGCAAAGGGAGAAGGAGAGAGAAUCCCAGACAGGCUCCACACCCAGUGUGGAACCCAACACAGGGCUCGAUCCCACCAUCCUGAGGUUGUGACCUGAGCUGAAAUCAAGAGUCAGAUGCUUAAUUAGCUGAGCCACCCAGGUGCCCCUCUGUGUUUUCUGAGAAUAAGUGUUUCCAAAGUAAGCCCUAGGAUUGUCCCAAGGAGGAAGAUAGUUUUCCUAAUAAGGUAGGAAGGAAGAAAUACUGAAAACCUUUAGUGUCUUUCCUGUACAACUAGGAUAAAAUAAGGACUCCUUUUCGAGGCCCUGGAAGCACUGGGUAAUUCUUCUGCUUAUCUGUCAGGCCAUAACUACAAGCCACCCCCAUCCUGCAUAUGUUUGUGUUCUAGCUACAGUGGCUUUUAUUCAGAUUCUCUAACCUGGUGGUUUCCAGACAUUUUCUUAAAAACAGGCUUUAUCUUUUUAGAGCAGUUUCAGAUUCAUAGCAGAAUUGAGCAGAAGUAGGGAGUUCCCAUAAACCGCCCGUCACACAUGCAUAGCUGCUUCUGCUGUCAACAUCCUGCACCAAAGUGGCACAUUUGUUUCAGGCAGUGACCCUGCGCCAACAGCUCAUCCCACCCAAAGCUCAGAGUUGACAUUAGGAUCAGUCUUGGUGUUGUACGUUCUGUAGAUUUUGACAAACGUACAACAACAUGUAUUUACCAUUAUAGCAUCAACUGGAAAAGCGCCAUUGCCCUGGAAGUCCUCUGUGUGCUGCCUGUUCUUCCUUCCCCUCCUACUGAUCCCUAGCAACCAGUGAUCUUUUUGCCGUCUCUAAUUCUGCCUUUUGCAGAAUGUCGUUUAGUUGGCAUCACACAGUAUGUAGUCUUCCCACUUGGGCCUCUUUUGCUUGGUAAUAUGUGUUUAUGGUUCCUCCAUGUUUUUCUGUGGCCUGAUAGCUGAUUUCUUUUUAGCACCAAAUAAUAUUUCAUUGCAUGCACCACAGUUUGAUUAUCUACUCACUUACUGAAGGAUGUCUUGAUUGCUUCCAAAUUUUGGCAAUUAUGAAUAAAGCUGCUGUACACAUCCAUGUGCAGAUAAAAUUUUUAGCUCAUUUGGGUA